rnacentral:lncRNA from 1 species
ACCAUCCAGCGCGAGGCAGCCAGACUGCCGAGCGAGUGCCCAAGGCAUUGUGGGAGUCAUGAUUCCAAGAGGCCCGCGAUUUAAAAUUGAACUUGUCAGUUCCCGGUCACGGGAGCAUUGUGAGCGCCACAACUCAUUCAGCUGCAGUGAAAAGACUGUUGCAUGUCGCUGUGCAGCCUCUUAUCGCCGAGGUCUGGUUUCCGCUGCUGCUGCGCGGCCCUCCCCGCCGGCCCAGCCCCACCAGGAAGCCCUGGGCGGACUCCGCGAGCCCCGGAACGCACGCGGCGACAGAAAAAAAAAAAAAAUGCUCUUCAACUUUCCGCCGCCCGGCGGCUCAGCCCCCGGCCACCUCGCCACCCCUCAAUCUAACAAGAGUCCGCCGGGGGUGGCGGUUGCCACUCGCCCAUCGGCGCAGAAAGCAAAAGGAAACCCGAGCCGGCGCUGGCGCGGUGCAUCCCCGCCGCCUCCCGGUGGUAUCUUCCAUCUUAUACGUUCAACACUGUAA